rnacentral:lncRNA from 9 species
AGAAUGAAACUACCUCCUCCAGAGAAACCAGCCAAGAGAUGCAGAGAAAUGGAGCUCCUCCAGCUUCAGCGAUGUCCCCGGAUCCACUCUUCAUGGGAAGCAGUCCCAUCUUUAGCUCCCCAGGUCUUACAUCUUUAAAGCAGCAAGUCUGUCCCCUUCGUGCUCAUUGAGAAUAUCUGAUACCUUCAUGUUUGGACUCAUCCAGCCCCCAUCUCCUCAGUCUAUCUCAGAUCUGACGGUGGAGGCUGCUUUGUCCAGGACCAACCUUUUCUCUUGCCUCAUUUCUGUUAUGCCAGCUGAUGAAGAGCAUGCUAUGCCCUCAGCUUCUUGGACUUCACCCUGGCCCUGGAAGUCUGCCGGAAAUCACUGAGGGUUUCUGUAUUGUUGAAUGAUGCGAUCUGCCUUCCUUUGGGAAGAUAACCUUGUCCUGGGAUUAGGAAGAGGAGGAAGAGCUCUACACCCACCUGAUCUGUUCUGGAGCCAGACUUCCUUGGUUCAAAUCCCAAUUCUGCCACAUACUACCUCUGUUACUUUGGGGAAGGGGAGCUCUUCCAGGCCUCUGACUUGUGAAGACAGACACUGCAGAGGACUUUUUGCUGAGAAAAGAAGCUGAAUGAAGGGAUGGAUGUCUUUAAAAGGCCCGGUCUUGGGGGUCCAUCACCUCUCUAAGAACCAUCUUCAUCUCCUCCUCCUCCUCUGUGCCCUUCCAGGAAAAGAGGAGCAGACUCCUCUGCUCCCAGGUGGAGAAAAGCAUGAAUUCUUUAAAAUACUUUGAGUGUAGAGUAUGGGUGUGUGGAAAACUUCCUGGAGGAGGUGAGAUGAUCUAAGGGAGGCACGUUGCUCUUGUGGGAUGGAGCAGAGCAUUCAGGGUGGAGAUUCCUGGAUGAUAUGGACAGAGGCAGAGUGAAGUUUCACAUUUUGGAGGAUGGAUAUAGCUGGGCUGCUUUGAAAGAGACAUAUCAAGAUGGAAGUGGACCCAACAUAAAAGUUAGUGGACACGACACAAAAUUGAGUGGCAGGCAUCAAUGAUUUGGAUCAGUCACCCGAGCACAUUCCCUGGAAUUCCAGCAAGUUCACAGAAGGGAUUUUCCUUCUUCAAGCCCCUCUCCCUGCCCUGCCAAUUCUUGACAGUGAUGUUAAACCACACCUGCUUGGCCCCUGAGACAUCUCUCACCUGCCCCGGGUCCUACAGGAAGAUGAACUGCCAAGGUGAAAAGGCUCACGGCAAGAGCGGUGUGUCCUGGGUGUGUGCCAACUUAGAAUCACAAGAAAAAGUUAACUAAGAGAUUCAUGGGACAAUGGUUACUGUCAACAAACAUUUGGUGGAUGGUCACACAUUUGGUUCUGACUUGUCCUCUGGAGAUCAAGGAAUUAGAACGGAGACAGAGGUGGGAGUUUCUAAAAAGAGGAGUUUAAUUUUAAUGUAAAGAAUAACUUCCAAUGGGCAGAACUUGAACACUGAACCUUGAAAUGGAUAGAAUGAGCUGCUUUGGAGGUCCAAGAGGCAUGGCACUGCAGUUGUCUAAGCAGGCAAUCAACAGCACUUGCCAGGGACAAUGAAUAGGAGAAUCCAGCCGUAGUGUGUGUGUGUGCGUGUGUGUGAGAGAGAGAAGUGAAUAAAUCAUUUCAAAACAAUCACAGGACCAUUUUGUGAAAACUUCUGAAUUUGUCUACCACAGCUGAGUACUCAUUUCAGUCUUGUGGAGACUAUCUGAAACCUAAACAGGUUCUUUGCUUCUUUGAUUUUUCUAGUUCAUACAUGCCCAAGGCUCAAUAAGAUAAACAGUCAUUUGCAGGGAGAAAACCUGGGUAUUUAUUCUUGGCUUUCUUUUGUUCUUUUCAAAAAUAGAGAUCUUUGUUUGACGAGAAACAGCAUUGCUUCUCUCUAGAGCAGAGAUCAAUAAUGGCUUUUCUGCUAGAGCUAGCAUGUAUAUUUUCUUUAUUUCCAAGGGAUCACUACUGGGAACAGGGAAGCAGAAAGCCCUCAUUCAACUGGAUGCCCUAGAACUUUUGCUUU